UUAAAUAUUAUAUUUUUAAUUUUAUAUAAAAGUUAUAUUAAAAUAUAAAAAUAAUUGAUGAUUUUCAUGAUUUCCUGUGUUAAAGGAAAUGGUCAUGUGAGAAUAAACUGUGACAGAGGUUCAGUCUUGUUGGGGAAAGACCACAAACACACACAGCAUCGGUUCAGUCGUGUUUCAGAGGUGUUAAGCACUGCUACUGUGGGCUUUUCAGAGAACCGAUGAAGACAAUGUUUCUCAAAUGCGUUUGGUUCUGUUUGUGUUUCUGGCAUCUGGAUGUUGAGUUUGAAAUGCGUUUUUAUGGCUUCAGUUGGUUGCGUUCUGGUAACAUGUAAGACUUCCAUGUUAGAAGAUAUUUUGAAGCUGUAAUCUGUGACCAACUCUGUUCUUCAGGUGUGUUUGGUGAUGAUGAAGUGAGGUCAGUGUCAGUGUUGGAAGGAGAUUCAGUCACUCUAAACACUAGUCUGACUGAAUUAAUAAAUGAUGAUCUGAUUCAGUGGAGGUUUGGGAUUGAAAUCACUUUAUUGGCUGAAAUCAAUAAAAGGGCCGAUUUAAUCACUGUAUAUGACGAUGCUCAUGGUGGGAGAUUCAGAAACAGACUGAAGCUGAACAAUCAAACUGGAUCUGUGACCAUCACAACAACCCAUUCUCACUCCAAAGGCGUCAAAAACCGAAGCAUGGUCAAGCGCCCCUAGCGUCACUUUUAUGACGCCAAAUGUGCCUCUCGGCGUCGACUAUCGAAGCACUACGACCUUCAUUGCUUUCAGUGGGAAACUUUUGGCGUCAGAAUUCGACACGAGGACAUGAGAUGUUUAUCGCUAUGAAAUCACGUUCAAGAAGUCUCAUUCAGCACACAUCGCGCGAUACUUGCUAUCAGUUCCACAGUUUGGCUGAAAAGACGUAAAGGCAGUCAGCCCAGUGGUGUUUCUGGAGAGGGAUUCCUUCAGCCACUUGAUUACUUAUUUGAAGUCUUUCCUGUAUUUGGCCUAGUGUUCAAGUGAGCAUGAUGACCACAAGUGUGUGUCAAACUUUUCAUGACCUGAUGACUGUGUUUCCCAAUCCUGAUCCUGGAGAACCCCAGCACUGCACGGUUUUGGUGUCUCUCUUAUCUGCCUUGGAGUCUUCACUGAUGAGCUGAUGAGUUGAAUCAGGUGUGUUUGAUCAGGGAGACAUCUCAAAUGUGCAGUGUUGGGGUUCUCCAGGACCAGGAUUGGGAGCCACUGCCUUAUGGGACACUUAUGUGUUUAAAGAGAUUUUUAAUAUCUAAUUAUCAAUAUUUCACAUACUGUACUAAACACAUCACAGUCUUAAUAAUCCAGUUUAACACUUGUAUGAUAUUGUACAAGCCCCAGGACGGUCUCAUCUGACACUAUCAAAAGAAUUCAUAUGACUAUAGCUUGUUAUUAAUUACUUGCUUUCAAUAAUGGAUUCAUUUAACAUUUAAUUUUACAGCAUCUUUACAGAGGCUGCUUUUAUGGUCUAAACAAAACACAGUGUAAUGUAUAAGUUGAAUGUAAUGUAAUAUUUCUGUUUUACAGGAUUGUUUGAGGAUAACACAGCAGUUCUCCAUCACGCACAAGGACUCACCUCGUUAACUCUUUAUCCCCCACACACACAGAUAUGGUCCCUGGAUCAGUGAUUAGACUUUGCAGUGGUUAGAUUUUUGCAGAAGAUGUAACUUUGUUUUAUUUAUAAGCUCAUAAUGAAUACAUUACAGAACCAGUGAUGAAAACAAUAGUUAAAAAUAGUAUUUUUCGUAUUGAUAAAGCAUUUUGUUCUCUUUUUCAAGCUUCAUACAGUGAACUUUUUAGACUUUAAUUAAGAGUUUUAGUAAAGGAGAUAUUCAUACACAGUCAUCCCCUAGCUCCAGUCAUGAAGUGAAUUCAUGAUGUUAUUGUCAAAGCUAGCAGGUGUUUGUUUUCCUGAACACUUUCUCUGUCUUCCAUUGUUCAGACAAUCAGUGUUUAUUUGAUGCUGUGCUGAUUGAGUUUUAUAGAUGAUAUUGCACACUUGACAUGCAUGUCUUCAUGGUGUUUUUUUUGUGAGUUUGAAACAUUUACAUUGUGUUGUAUAACAUUUUGGUCAAUUUAAUUUUUUUAAUAAAAUUGAUCUUUUUCCAGUGUUCUCUGAAAGACAUACUGUAUUUACUGUUUUGUUUUUUAAUAAAAGCAUUUUCAUUUGCAUACUGAAAAUAGUUAAUGUUUACAACAUAACUGCCUUUUUAUUCUUUAUGGUGGCAAAAACGAGCUUGGUGACAGAGGACGCAGUGUAGUAAUUUGGGCAUGUUGUCUUUAAAUGAGUUUGACAUAUCAAUAAAUAAUGGAAGAUCCUUACAAAAAUAUGCAUGUUUAUUAUGCUUUAUGUAUUUAUUUGUUCAUUCAUUCAUUCAUUAAUUUAUAAUUUCUGUUUUUAUUCCUAGGGUUCAAAUGGUAGAGAAUGGUAAAUCACAGAAACACAAAUGUGAACAAUUUUAACUUUAAAACACAAUGUAAUAUACAAUGUAAAUUUUAGAAGCACGUCAUUUGAUUAGUAAAUAUAUUUGUCUUUGGUCAAAAAAAAAAAAAAUACAAAUCUUAAAAAUGUGUCUUAUAUUUAAUGAGAGGAAUCUAUCUGUUGGAUACAACUGCGACUGCUGGGCAUGUGCACAUCAAUAUUGCCCAAUUUUUGUCAAGCUGAACAACGGAGGAAGGUGAAGACGUUAAUAAAACAGAAUCUAAUAAGUAGCAAGCUUAAUCUAUUGUUAACCGAAUCUAUCCCUUCAGCCGAAAAACGAAAGACAUCUGUCAUACAUGGAUAAGGAAGUGUGACGCUGCUGCUCAGCUUAGAUGUCAUUGGCUAUGACUUUUCAGGACAGUCUGUGGUUGGACUAUCUUUUAACCCAUAUUAAACAGCGCAUCAUGUUAAAAAGUAUGUUUUGCUCCUAUCAUCACAUUAGUAAUAUAUUAAGUCAACAAUGAAGUGUUGCUAUCUUGAGAAAAAUGACAUCUCUAGCGAGAUCCUAAUCCUAAACCCUAAGCAUAACUUCAAUGAACUACAAAAAACAGCCCCCUAGUGUUGCCUUUCUAUAGAUAGAACGACGGAGGCUUGUGGGUAAUGUAGUUUAAAACUUUUUAUUAACGAAACUAAAUAAAUUAUUUAUUUUAAGGUAAACUGGAUAUCUAAAUAUGUUUAUUGUGCAAACAUCUGUGAUAUAUUUGAGAGGCAGGCUGAAAUGUGGUAUUUUACAGUGAGCAAUAUUUAAAAUGCUUUUAUGCCAGCUUUCCACUUAUUUCUGAAAACUGAGCUCAACAUUAUUUUAUCAGCAUAGCAUAAGUAAUAAUCCUGCCCAUUUUCUCUUUGAUAUGUUAAUUGCACUCUGAUUUACAGCCAUUUGAAAUGCACAGUUUUGGGCUCUUCCGGGGGGUGCUACUGGGCCCCUGGGGUUAGCAGGGCAGUAAAACCUACAUAUAUGUAUUCUCCUCAUCAUGAACAACAAUCUGAGCUGAGUCACAUUUAUAUCUGACAGUUUUCACAGUCCUCUGUUUUCUAUUCUAUUCAUCA
ensembl:lncRNA